rnacentral:rRNA from 1 species
UAGGGGCAAGUUCCCUUACCUCUGCUGUGUUACGACUUAUCCUUUCUUAGUAUAGUGUGUUUGUGCUAGGAGUGACGGGCGAUAUGUACAUCUCAUGAUCGGGUUCAGAAAGGAAAUUCAAUUCUUACUGUCAAGUCUAAAUUGCUUCAUUUUACGCUAUUUUUACUUAUUUAGUAUUUAGUACCCAUUUAAUACCGUGUUCUUUAUAUGUUGAUCUGGGGUUUUCUUGAUAAAGGUUUAUUUUGUAUUGAAAUAAAACGACGAUAUAUAAAUUUUUUAACGGCGUUUUGUGUGUGGGUUAUCAUUUUAUUAAACAGGCCCCCCUGAGUCGAUGCUGAGACCGCCAAGUUUCUUGAGUUUUCUUUUUCUGGUCAGAAAUGUUUAUUGAGGGAUAGUAGGGUAUCUAAUCCUAGUUUCUUUUUUCUUUAAAUAUUUAUGUUAAUCAUGGGUAAUCUUGUUUUAUAAAUUUGAUCUAAUACAAAAACAUAGAGAUUAAUUUGUUGUCCGUUAAUAAAGUAUUUCAAUGGUUUAACCGCAGUUGCUGGCACCAUAUUAACUGAAAAACAUUAAGUGAACUAGAACAAUCUUUCGAUUUUCAUUUAAUAAUAGUAAUUGGUUAAUAAAUAUUAAAAAUAUAAUUCCAUAUUACUUUCUCUUAAUAAAUUUAUUUUAUACCGAAACUAUAUAAU